UUAAAAGGUAAAAUAUUUCAAAUGCAUAGUAAUAUUUGAGAUCAUAAUACAUUAGCUUGGUUUUCUUGCAAAAUAUAUCUUACUUAGUAUUUAACUUCACAUAAAAUAGUAAGCUACUCAUUAAACUCAGACCUAUAUUAGGGUUUUUUGUUUGUUUGUUUUUUUUUGUCUUGACAGCUUGUUGCAGAGUCCCCAACAUUGUCUAAUUCCAUAAUUAAACAUAAUUCCAGGAACAUGAUAAUGGCAAAUGCCAAAAUUAUCUGUUCCAAGUUUAUAUCAGAGGACAGACAUGAACUUUUCCUCUAACAUCCUCUAUUCAGGGUUAGCACACUGCAAACAAACACAGCACAGUCUUCACCUUGGAUCUGGAGAGCAUCAGUUAGCACAGAUCUGGCCUCCUGUCAGCAACUCUCAAUGGACUCGCCCUGCUGAGGUGUCUCGACUUGAACCACAGGGCUGGGAUGUUUCACUUGGUAGGUACUCCUGCUGUGAAAGCAUGAGGACCCACAUUCUGGUUCCCAACGCCCACCUAAGAAAUUGGAGGAGGCCCAGACCUGCAAUCCCAGUGCAUGAAGAGAAAAGACAGGCUGGCUCCAGACUCCUGCUCUUCUUGUUCUCUGUCUCUUGCUGAGGAUGGUCAGCAGAUGCUCGUGGUCCAAACAGGGCUGAAAGCAGACUACUAAGGAGGCAGUUAAUACAUACCAGCAACUGAAACAGCCUGUAUAUAAGAGCUGCUGACAUAGUGCAUGGUCUACCUUGUAUGCUAGUAUGACUGCUUCAGCUGCCUGGAUGCAGCUGGGAUAAGGACUGCAUUACUUCACAGGGUGUUGUGAAGAGGAGAGGAGAUAGAAAUACCUGAUAAGAGCCUGUCUCCUACCUGCCACUGGUGGAGUGCUCUCAGGUCAGUGGAGUAGUGAACAAUUCCCUGUGCUAUCUUUGCUCUGGGCAGCUUCAGAUACAGCUGAGGCAACUGAGGGCCCAGGAGGUAAGUGAAAACACAGCUUGGAAAUAAAAGAAUAAAAACCCCUUUUUAUUUUCCAACAGUAAAUAUUUGUUAACAAUUUCCAAUCAGAGUACAUUUUAUUCUGGCUGGAAUAAUGAAAAGGUUGCUUUGGGAACUGACAAGCCUUUGAAAUAAAUAGCUCAACAGGGACAUAUGCCUAUCAUUCUGUCACUAGAGAGGAUGAAGCAGGAGGAUUGUGAGUUCAAAGCUGGUAUGAGUAACUUAGAUUCCAUCUCAUAAAUCAAAUGUUGAAAAUGAAUUGAGAAAUAGUCUUUUGGGUACCUAUUUUUUUUUGUUUUUGAAAACUAGUUUAAAACAUGCAUGGAUCUUUCAGUUAUGAUUAAGUUGACAAGAAAGCUAUAUAUUCUGUUCUGAGAGGAAAAAGUUCAUUUUGGAUGAAAUUUUACUUUUCAACCAGCAAAUGCUUCUUUGGAAGGAGGAAGAGCCAGUGAUGUCUUGUGACCGAACCUUUGUAAUCUGGAAUGUCAAGGUCAGGAAACUCUGUCACUUUGUGUAUUACAAGUGUUUUGUGAGUUUUUAUUCCGUUUUCUUUUUUAACUCCUUCCAUGUUGUGAGCUCCAACAACACACUCUAAUUAUUCAUUCUUGCUGACUUGGACAGAAUUUUAAAUCCUGGUCAACCCUCAAGCGCCAUACUGCUUUUGCUCUCCUUGCUUAUUUUCUUUCCUAUUUGCUUCAUUGCAGGUUCCCGUCUGGCCUGCUCGACACUCCCUUCGAUUUUUCUUUUUUUGGCUCUGGGAACUCCUUGGUGACAAUGGGGAACAGAAGUUCCAUGUUACACUUUGAAGCACACAGCAACUGAGCUGUUUCUGGGAGUCUGCAGUAAAUAGUCUUUUUAACUGACUGAAAGUUAAGCUGCCUGGAGGUUGGGGACAACUCUACACCCACCCUUAAGGCACACAGCAAUUAUUGUAAAGGACACAGAGUUCCCUGUUAUUGGCACUCAGUGGCAUAUGUGCAAGGAAUCAGGGUAGCUUGUAUUUUCCUUGAAGAUCAACAACAUUAAAAAAAAAAAAAA